UUUUAUGGAGAGUUUGAUCCUGGCUCAGGAUGAACGCUGGCGGCCUGCCUAAUACAUGCAAGUCGAGCGAACGGACGAGAAGCUUGCUUCUCUGAUGUUAGCGGCGGACGGGUGAGUAACACGUGGAUAACCUACCUAUAAGACUGGGAUAACUUCGGGAAAACGGAGCUAAUACCGGAUAAGAGUUUGAACCGAAUGGUGCAA
rnacentral:rRNA from 1 species